GAUCCUGGCUCAGGACGAACGCUGGCGGCGUGCUUAACACAUGCAAGUCGAACGGAAAGAGAUGAAAGAGCUUGCUCUUUUAUUAAUUUCAGCGGCAAACGGGUGAGUAACACGUAAACAACCUGCCUUAAGGAUGGGGAUAACAGACGGAAACGACUGCUAAUACCGAAUACGUUCUAAGCAUCGCAUGGUGCAUAGAAGAAAGGGUGGCCUCUACAAGAAAGCUAUCGCCUUAAGAGGGGUUUGCGACUGG
rnacentral:rRNA from 1 species